UGACAGCCUCGCAGCUGCAGUCAUGCAGCUCUGGCCGACUGGCACACACGCAGCCUGCUCUCCACCCACACACCUCAGAACUCAUGCCAAACAACUCAGAUCUGUGAUUUCCAGGACAUUUUUCAGUCGCUGCUCCUUUGUGACGCAACUGCUAAUGUUCAUCGUCACGAUUUUCCUACACACCCUCUGGUCUACAACUGACAGCUCUGAAGGACCCCCGCUGGUCUGGCUGUUGGGAUGAUGGCCCCACACAACAAGCAGUGCACAUUCUGCAAUUACAUGGCAGGUUCUUUUGUCCUAUUCAUGAGCAGACUGCUGCACCCUGGGGGCUCAGCUGAGGAGGUUUAAAUCCAUGGACGUCUUCUUUCAAAAGCAGAUUACAGCAGAAAAAGAAAAUAAAAG
rnacentral:lncRNA from 1 species